GCCAAGACGGUGCGUUUUAUCCUUCAAAAUUUCCCAACCUCUCGUCUCUAUGCUCUGCAUAAACCCUAAAAUUGAACCCUCCAACAUCCCACAAUCCAUCUCUCUAUAUCGGCCUCUCUCCAGUCCUGUCAAGUUGCUGAAUUUAUGAUACAUAUACUUUUAGAAGAGGCAAAAUGGCGUUUCGAUACCUACAGAGUAUUUGAAAAAUCAAGCAAUCAGUAGAACCCAGCUAUAAGAAGGUUUACGCUCACUUGUAAGUUCUAGCAUAAUCAAUUAUGAUUGCGUUUCUCUGUAGAAGAACACUACAAAUACCAGUUCCUACUUGUAGGUUUUCACCGAUAAGCUCCAUAAUCCAACUUGGUUGUAUGCAAGAUGGGUUAUUAUUUAGUGUUAGAUCUCUGUCAACAUUAUUGAAAUCUAUGGACCGUAAACAGAAGAAAUAUUCUUAUGCAGUGUCUUAUCUUGUAAACUCAUGUGGGUUUGCCCUGGAAUUUGCUGAAUCUAUAUCUAAGAAGGUAAAAUUUGAAUCCCCUGAUAAACCGGAUGAAGUGGUUAGCCUUCUCACAGAGUACGGGUUCACGAAAGACCACAUCUCCAGGCUUAUUAGGAGAAGACCCCAGCUGCUUUUGGCCAAUCCUACGACGAACCUUUUGCCCAAACUGGAGUUUCUACGUUCAAUUGGUGUUUCAAUCUCAGAUCUUGGUCAGAUGCUGUCUGGUAACCCUGAUUUAUUGUGCCGGAGCUUAGACCAUUUCCUCAUUCCUUGCUAUAAUAUCCUCAAAAGUGUACUUAUUUCUGAUGAAAAAUUGGUCAAGGCUUUGAAGCGCUCAAACGGGAUUGUUGUUUCCUCAUUGCCUGAGAAUUUGUCAGUUAAUUCAUUAAUCCUAAGAGAAAAUGGAGUGCCUCAAUCUAUCAUCUCUUAUUUGUUGAUCUAUAAACCUUCCGUGGCAUGCAUGAAGCCUGCCAAAUUUAGGCAACUUGUUAACAAGGUUAUUGAUAUUGGAUUUGACCCUCUGAAGUCUACAUUUGCACAUGCACUGGUAUUUGUGUCUUUUCCUAAUGUCUGGGAGCGGAAGAUAGUGUUUUAUAGGAGUUGUGGCUUAUCAGAAGAUGAAAUAUGGUUGGCUAUCAGAAAGUUUCCCUUGUGUAUGAAUUUCUCAAUUAAGAAAAUUAGAAACACCAUGGAUUUUCUUGUGAACAAGAUGGGUUGGCUGCCUGGAGAUGUUGCCAGAGUUCCAAGUGUAUUAUGUUAUAGUUUGGAGAAGAGGAUUGUUCCAAGGUGUUCAGUUGUAAAAGUUUUGAUAUUGAAAGGUUUGAUCAAGGGAGAUAUUAAUUUAUCUACUGUGUUGACAGCCACUGAGAAGUACUUCCUGGAUUUGUUUGUGAUAAAGUAUCAGGAAGAGGUACCUCAACUCUUGAGUAUCUUCCGAGGAGAAAUAAAUAUUGUGGAAUUUGGAUUUGGAUUUGAGUAAAAACCAUCCGUAGUUUCCCCCUUACCCGAUGCUGGGUAAUUGUGGCUUAGCUUUAUUGGACUUUUUAACUGCUGGCUGUAGACUGUCUCUAAUGUGGUUCUCUUGUAAGUGAUUUUACUACAUACCUUCAUUUUAUUAGAGAUAUUUGAGGUAUUGGUAGGGAAGUCAUAGGUCCGGAUAACUCAACUGCCUUGCAGCGCUCUAAAGGUUUCCAAUGCUUCAGUUCAGUGUCUUAUUUUCAUUGAAGAACUCUCUGCCAUCAAUCUGAUAAUGAUGAAUCAUAGUUAAGAAUAUUAAAAGUUUUGCUUACCUGUCCUAUCUUCUUUUUCCUGAUGAUUUGCCGGAGUUUUCAUGUUAUCUAUCCUCUUUUAUGCACUUUGUGCCUUAUUUUAUAAACGUGCAACACCAACACAUGGCCGCUUGCUUAUAUAUAUGAUCCAGAUUUAUAUAUAUACUUGUAUAGUAUGUUGUCUAGUCUAGUGGAGGAUUGAUAAAUGUUAAUCCCCUGCAGAACCAGUGAAGAUUUUCUAAGAAAGGUUGAGAAUUUAGGUGUGCAAGUGCAAGAAAACAAUGAAAGUAGAAGGAUGAAACUCACUGUUUUAUGAGUAAGGAUGCACAUGUACCGGAUUCACCUAAUAAUUUGCUGGCAUCUUCACUGGUGUUGGGAAACAAACAAAAAAGUCAAAGGGGGGAGAUUGAAGGAGCCAUCAAAUAUGCCAUUGGUUAUGUGAAAAGUGAAAUGGGUUUCUAUGGAUAGUUGCAGGAAGGUUCACUAAUCCAAUAACCAAUUAUAACAGGGGUAAUCCUGCUUCAAUGAAAAUAAUUAAUGUUGUUUCCAAGAUUAAGAAAUGUAAAAUCCU
rnacentral:misc_RNA from 1 species